rnacentral:rRNA from 1 species
UACAGAGGGUGCGAGCGUUGUCCGGAAUCACUGGGCGUAAAGGGCGCGUAGGCGGCGCGGUAAGCGUGCGGUGAAAGCCCGGGGCUCAACCCCGGGUCGGCCGUGCGGACUGCCGGGCUGGAGCACUGUAGAGGCAGGUGGAAUUCCGGGUGUAGCGGUGAAAUGCGUAGAUAUCUGGAGGAACACCGGUGGCGAAGGCGGCAUCCUGGACCGACACUGACACUGAGGAGCGAAAGCCAGGGGAGCAAACGGG